rnacentral:rRNA from 1 species
AACGACUCUCGGCAACGGAUAUCUAGGCUCUCGCAUCGAUGAAGAACGUAGCGAAAUGCGAUACUUGGUGUGAAUUGCAGAAUCCCAUGAACCAUCGAGUCUUUGAACGCAAGUUGCGCCCGAGGCCUUUAGGCCGAGGGCACGUCUGCCUGGGCGUCACGC